GGUCUAGGUGGUCAGGUAGGUCUCCUGUGAAAACCCGGGGCUCACCCCCGGGACUGCAGGGGAAACUGCCCGACUUGAGUGUGUGAGAUGCGUGCGGAAUACUGGGUGUAGCGGUGAAAUGCGUAGAUAUCCAGUAGAACACCUGUGGCGAAAGCGGCCCGCAAGCACACAACUGACACUGAAGCCCGAAAGCGUGGGGAGCGAACA
rnacentral:rRNA from 1 species